GACGAACGCUGGCGGCGUGCCUAAUACAUGCAAGUCGAACGCUGAAGGAGGAGCUUGCUUCUCUGGAUGAGUUGCGAACGGGUGAGUAACGCGUAGGUAACCUGCCUGGUAGCGGGGGAUAACUAUUGGAAACGAUAGCUAAUACCGCAUAAUAUUGACUAUUGCAUGAUAGUCAGUUGAAAGGUGCAACUGCACCACUACCAGAUGGACCUGCGUUGUAUUAGCUAGUUGGUGGGGUAACGGCUCACCAAGGCGACGAUACAUAGCCGACCUGAGAGGGUGAUCGGCCACACUGGGACUGAGACACGGCCCAGACUCCUACGGGAGGCAGCAGUAGGGAAUCUUCGGCAAUGGACGGAAGUCUGACCGAGCAACGCCGCGUGAGUGAAGAAGGUUGUCGGAUCGUAAAGCUCUGUUGUAAGAGAAGAACGAGUGUGAGAGUGGAAAGCUCACACUGUGACGGUAUCUUACCAGAAAGGGACGGCUAACUACGUG
rnacentral:rRNA from 1 species